GAAACAACCAACGUGCAGGGCCUGCCUA
rnacentral:sRNA from 1 species